rnacentral:rRNA from 1 species
AGAGUUUGAUCCUGGCUCAGGAUGAACGCUAGCGGCAGGCUUAACACAUGCAAGUCGAGGGGUAGAGUAGCAAUACUUGAGACCGGCGCACGGGUGCGUAACGCGUAUGCAACCUACCUUUUACAGGGGAAUAGCCCAGAGAAAUUUGGAUUAAUGCCCCAUGGUAUAAUUGAAUGGCAUCAUUUAAUUAUUAAAGUUCCAACGGUAAAAGAUGGGCAUGCGUCCUAUUAGCUAGAUGGUAAGGUAACGGCUUACCAUGGCUACGAUAGGUAGGGGUCCUGAGAGGGAGAUCCCCCACACUGGUACUGAGACACGGACCAGACUCCUACGGGAGGCAGCAGUGAGGAAUAUUGGACAAUGGGCGCAAGCCUGAUCCAGCCAUGCCGCGUGCAGGAAGACGCAUCUAUGGUGUGUAAACUGCUUUUGUACGGGAAGAAACACUCCUUCGUGAAGGAGCUUGACGGUACCUUAAGAAUAAGAUCCCAAU